GGGGAUGUAGCUCAGUGGUAGAGCACUUGCCUAGCAUGCAUGAGGCCCUAGGUUGAAUCUCCC
rnacentral:tRNA from 1 species